GAGGCAGUUAAAAAGAGAUGGGCUUGAGACUUGGAGUUGGAAGUAAUAACAGUUGACAGCAGCAACCGGAAGAUGCCAAAACGAAAGAGCACGCACGGACAGCGUUGGAACAUGAGCAGUGCAUGCCCACCAAGUGUUCGAAGCUAUUGUUGUACAAGUUCCUCUUUUUUGUGUGUGAUUAAAGUAAAAUGGAAAAGCUUAUUAUCAGUUUCCAAAGAUACUGCUCAAGAGGAAUGAAGUCAUUGUAGUAGCUUGGCAGUCCUCCAAGUCGAGUGAGCUGGUGAUGGUUCGUAUUGUAUUAGCUUGGCAGUCCUCCAAGUCGAGUGAGCUGGUGAUGGUUCGUGAUUCAGGAUACAUGAUAUUGCUGAUCUUUUUUACCUCAUGUUGUCCUGUUUGUAAUCCACUGCAAGCUUGUGUUCCAGUAUCAUCUUUCUUACAAUCAAUUUUGUGGAGCAAUCUAAGCCACUCGAUUGCAUAAAGAAUUUAACCUUUACUGGUGGACCGCAAUAAGUUAAAGAAAAGGGAAGCCCUUCUAACAAGGUCCAUGUUUGAUAUAACAACCUGGAAAUUUUCUGCUGGUAUAGCACAAUCAACAAUGUAAAUCACAGAACUUGGAGCUUUUAACAAUUGUAGUGACAUGUAUGUUUAUGUUCUCAGACGUCUCAAACACGAUAAUUCUAUAUGGAAACCAGCCUAGCAAGACUGAGACGGAUGAAAAAUAGACGUAAGUUUUGGUUUUAAAUACCUCUUUAAAAGGGUACAGAGAAGGGACCAUUUCAUGAUCAUGACGAUGACCAUAAAACUCUGGGAUCAAUUUUGGAUGGGAAAACCAUAUGGUCCAUUACUGGUGGACCAGGUAAUUUCUGCAUUAAGGGGCUGAGCUAAUGACAACACAAAAUAAUGCAUAUUUCCAUAUUGAUUAUCAUACCAAAUGUGUCUCUCAUUUACUUCAUUUGUAGUGAUGGCUGAUUCUUUGUUAUGUCAGUCUCAACUCAAGUCCAAGUCCUUGUCUGCUACACUGUUUGAAUGUGCUGCUUUCAAAAAAGGAGGAUAGGGAAAAAAAGUAAAGAAGAUUGGCAAUACAGUACAUCCAUCUAUUAUAGUCUUGACUAGUGAUUAUUACAUGAGAAUAGUUUAACUCUCCAGGCCUGUGAAAUCUGACCACAUUAUCUCAUCUAUCCAGUGGAAAUAAAAUAACCCCCCAUCUCCUGUAAGAUACCAUUUCAUGUGUGCCCACUACUAGUACUUUGUCUUGAUGUUAUGCAAUUGUUCCUUGGUGUCUACAUUAAGCACCAAUACUAAAGUUAACCACUAGAAUUAUUCAUGUCUUUUUGUUUAGUGGGGGCACACACACACACACAAAAACAAGGGUAAAAACAUAAUGAUGGUAUCAGAGAUGGGGAGAGUUGGGUUUGGUUUGCAGCCACAAUGUGCACCAAAGUCUCUCAUGGAGGAGAGUCUUGAUCAUCUUAACACAUGGAUAUUAAUAUGCUAGUGGGGGAAGCUGAUGUUUACACUUUAACACCACCAGUCUGUAUCUCAAGGCUGUGAGAGAAGUGUUGGAACAGUUUCCCAACUUUACUGAUUUUUUUUUUUAUCAACAGAUUAUAGAAUUCAUCCAUAGUGGGGUGGGUAGGGUUCUUGAUUCAAAAUGCAAUAAGAAGCUGUGAUCUGCUUUUGUUCAUCUUUAGGCUUACUCCACCACCUAUCACAACUAAUUUCAUGGUUUUAAAGUAGACUACUCAUUGCAAUUUCAUUGAAAUUCUCUGAUAAAGGUACCUUAGAUAUGAUAUGAUAUCUAGCUAGGUAAAUAAUAUAGUCCCCCCACUAUACUUUUAGAAAACCCAAACUUUACCAGCAUCUCACUC